UGGGGAAUUUUGGACAAUGGGCGAAAGCCUGAUCCAGCAAUGCCGCGUGUGUGAAGAAGGCCUUCGGGUUGUAAAGCACUUUUGUCCGGAAAGAAAUCCUUGGCUCUAAUACAGUCGGGGGAUGACGGUACCGGAAGAAUAAGCACCGGCUAACUACGUGCCAGCAGCCGCGGUAAUACGUAGGGUGCAAGCGUUAAUCGGAAUUACUGGGCGUAAAGCGUGCGCAGGCGGUUUGCUAAGACCGAUGUGAAAUCCCCGGGCUCAACCUGGGAACUGCAUUGGUGACUGGCAGGCUAGAGUAUGGCAGAGGGGGGUAGAAUUCCACGUGUAGCAGUGAAAUGCGUAGAGAUGUGGAGGAAUACCGAUGGCGAAGGCAGCCCCCUGGGCCAAUACUGACGCUCAUGCACGAAAGCGUGGGGAGCAAACGGGAUUAGAUACCCUGGUAGUCCACGCCCUAAACGAUGUCAACUAGUUGUUGGGGAUUCAUUUUCCUUAGUAACGUAGCUAACGCGUGAAGUUGACCGCCUGGGGAGUACGGUCGCAAAGAUUAAAACUUAAAGG
rnacentral:rRNA from 1 species